rnacentral:rRNA from 1 species
UAAGGAAUCUUCCACAAUGGACGAAAGUCUGAUGGAGCAAUGCCGCGUGCAGGAUGACGGCCUUCGGGUUGUAAACUGCUUUUAUAUGGGAAGAUUGUGACGGUACCAUAUGAAUAAGGACCGGCUAACUACGUGCCAGCAGCCGCGGUAAUACGUAGGGUCCAAGCGUUAUCCGGAAUCACUGGGCGUAAAGCGUGCGUAGGUGGCGUGUUAAGUGAGAUGUGAAACCGUGUGGCUCAACCAUACGUUGUGUCUCAUACUGGCAUGCUAGAGGACAGCAGAGGCAAGUGGAAUUUGUAGUGUAGCAGUGAAAUGCGUAGAUAUUACAAGGAACACCAAUGGCGAAGGCAGCUUGCUGGGCUACUCCUGACACUGAGGUACGAAAGCGUGGGGAGCGAACAGG